rnacentral:rRNA from 1 species
UACGAAGGGGGCUAGCGUUGCUCGGAAUCACUGGGCGUAAAGCGCACGUAGGCGGAUCCUUAAGUCGGGGGUGAAAUCCUGGAGCUCAACUCCAGAACUGCCUUCGAUACUGAGGAUCUCGAGUCCGGGAGAGGUGAGUGGAACUGCGAGUGUAGAGGUGAAAUUCGUAGAUAUUCGCAAGAACACCAGUGGCGAAGGCGGCUCACUGGCCCGGUACUGACGCUGAGGCUCGAAAGCGUGGGGAGCAAACAGG